rnacentral:rRNA from 1 species
GACGAACGCUGGCGGCGUGCCUAAUACAUGCAAGUUGAGCGCUGAAGGUUGGUACUUGUACCGACUGGAUGAGCAGCGAACGGGUGAGUAACGCGUGGGGAAUCUGCCUUUGAGCGGGGGACAACAUUUGGAAACGAAUGCUAAUACCGCAUAAAAACUUUAAACACAAGUUUUAAGUUUGAAAGAUGCAAUUGCAUCACUCAAAGAUGAUCCCGCGUUGUAUUAGCUAGUUGGUGAGGUAAAGGCUCACCAAGGCGAUGAUACGUAGCAGACCUGAGGGGGUGAUCGGCCACAUUGGGACUGAGACACGGCCCAAACUCCUACGGGAGGCAGCAGUAGGGAAUCUUCGGCAAUGGACGAAAGUCUGACCGAGCAACGCCGCGUGAGUGAAGAAGGUUUUCGGAUCGUAAAACUCUGUUGGUAGAGAAGAACGUUGGUGAGAGUGGAAAGCUCAUCAAGUGACGGUAACUACCCAGAAAGGGACGGCUAACUACGUG